rnacentral:lncRNA from 1 species
CGGGCUUCACAUUAUUAUAACAAGUGAUCCUACUAAAUAUGACAGCAAUCUCAGAGUAGUUGCAAUUACUGGUUCAUUCUGGCUAUUCCUACAUUUUGAAUUUUAUAGGUAAAAUAGUUCAAUUUUAUGUAGGAGUUCCCAGAAUUUUUGUGUAAACAAUGGGAUUAUGUAGGAUUAUGUUGUAACAACAAUAAUGAAUCAAAGGUAAAUCCAGGUAAUUCUUGUAGAAAAUAAAA